UACGUAGGGGGCAAGCGUUGUCCGGAAUCAUUGGGCGUAAAGAGCGUGUAGGCGGCCAGAAAAGUCCGCUGUGAAAACUCGAGGCUCAACUUCGAGCUGUCGGUGGAAACUUUCUGGCUAGAGUCCGGAAGAGGAGAAUGGAAGUUCCUGGUGUAGCGGUGAAAUGCGCAGAUAUCAGGAAGAACACCCGUGGCGAAGGCGGUUCUCUGGGACGGUACUGACGCCUGAGACGCGAAAGCGUGGGGAGCAAACAGG
rnacentral:rRNA from 1 species